GGCUGGUUAGCUCUGUCAGUUAAGCAUGGCACUAACAACGCCAAGGUCGCAGGUUCGAUUCCUGUUCGGUCC
rnacentral:tRNA from 1 species